rnacentral:rRNA from 1 species
AGGAGCUUGCUCCUUGGGUGACGAGUGGCGGACGGGUGAGUAAUGUCGUGGGAUCUGCCCGAUAGGAGGGGAUAACCACUGGAAACGGUAGCUAAUACCGCAUAACGUCGCAAGACCAAAGGAGGGGGACCUUCGGGCCUCUUGCCAUCAGAUGUGCCCAGAUGGGAUUAGCUAGUAGGUGGGGUAACGGCUCACCUAGGCGACGAUCCCUAGCUGGUCUGAGAGGAUGACCAGCCACACUGGAACUGAGACACGGUCCAGACUCC